UGAGACACAUCCUACACAAGGGGUUCUUAAC
rnacentral:piRNA from 1 species